GACGAACGCUGGCGGCGUGCUUAACACAUGCAAGUCGAACGGAAAGGCCCUGCUUUUGUGGGGUGCUCGAGUGGCGAACGGGUGAGUAACACGUGAGUAACCUGCCCUUGACUUUGGGAUAACUUCAGGAAACUGGGGCUAAUACCGGAUAGGAGCUCCUGCUGCAUGGUGGGGGUUGGAAAGUUUUGGCGGUUGGGGAUGGACUCGCGGCUUAUCAGCUUGUUGGUGGGGUAGUGGCUUACCAAGGCUUUGACGGGUAGCCGGCCUGAGAGGGUGACCGGCCACAUUGGGACUGAGAUACGGCCCAGACUCCUACGGGAGGCAGCAGUGGGGAAUAUUGCACAAUGGGCGGAAGCCUGAUGCAGCAACGCCGCGUGCGGGAUGACGGCCUUCAGGUUGUAAACCGCUUUCGCCUGUGACGAAGCGUGAGUGACGGUAAUGGGUAAAGAAGCACCGGCUAACUACGUG
rnacentral:rRNA from 1 species